AUUAAGUGUGAGAGGGAGAGAGGCAGAAGGCGAGACAGAGAGCGGCUGAGGAGGAUCCCAGGGACCCAGUACUGAUCCUACAGCUGAGCACUGACUGCAGUAGGGACGCAGGAGCUGCAGCUUCACCAGCACACUGAGGAGAAGGGGACCUUUUGGAAGACGUGUGCAGAUUGCUGAUAUCUGUGACCAGGAGACCUCUUGAACUGCUAUGAAGAGCUCUGUGAUCUGAGGCAACAGACAAACAGCUGUGGUCCUGGGAGGUGCAGAAUUGAAUUAAAGCAGGAUCAGCUCAGAAGCUCAACCUCUAAGGAGGACCCGUAGUCUAUUUGUACUGACCACAAGAAGCCAAACAAAGCAUCAUGACAACCCGUCCAGGAGUGAAACCUCUCCAGAAAUCUUCCCUCCGAGGAGUUCACAUUACCCAGUUUGUGGAUAAGAUUCCAAAAGGAUGCAGCACACCUGACUUUGAGCGAAAACCUGUCAGUCUAACAUUGCAGGAAGGUAAAAAUGCCAUAUUCAGAGCUGCAGUCAAGGGUGUUCCCGCCCCUGAGGUGAAAUGGAAACGUGCAAAAGGAGAAAUGAACGAUCCUGCCAAAUAUCUAAUGUUCUAUAGUCCAGCUACAAGUGAACACAUU
rnacentral:lncRNA from 1 species